UGUUGUAGCUAACGCGWUAAGCACUCCGCCUGGGGACUACGGUCGCAAGACUAAAACUCAAAGGAAUUGACGGGGACCCGCACAAGCGGUGGAGCAUGUGGUUUAWUUCGAUGCAACGCGAAGAACCUUMCCACUUCUUGACAUGGAGAUUAGAUCCUUCUUAACAGAAGGGCGCAGUUCGGCUGGAUCUCGCACAGGUGCUSCAUGGCKGUCKUCAGCUCGUGUCGUGAGAUGUUGGGUUAAKUCCCGCAACGAGCGUAACCYUCAUCCUUAGUUGCCAGCGGGUUAAGCCGGGCACUUUAAGGAGACUGCCAGUGGUAAACUGGAGGAAGGUGGGGAUGAUGUCAAGUCAGCACGGCCCUUAUGGGGUGGGCUACACACGUGCUMCAAUGGUGACUACAAUAGGUUGCAAUGUCGWAAGGCUGAGYUAAUCCGUAAAAGUCAUCUCAGUUCGGAUUGUCCUCUGCAACUCGAGGGCAUGAAGYCGGAAUCGCUAGUAAUCGUGGAUCAGCAUGCCACGGUGAAUACGUUCUCGGGUCUUGUACACACUGCCCGUCACGC
rnacentral:rRNA from 1 species